rnacentral:misc_RNA from 1 species
GAGGGCUUAAUGAGAUGGUCACCCCCACCCUGUGAGCGGUACGCUGGCAGGGUGGGGGUGACCAUCUCAUUAAGGCCCCGCAGGGCCU